rnacentral:lncRNA from 1 species
AUUCCUUCCUUUAACUGAUAUUUUUGAUUCCCUGACUAGAGGUCCCAACUGAGUCAGAUAGGAGUGCUUCAAAUGCAGUAUGAGUAAUGAUAACAACAAUAUGAUAAUUAUAAUGGCUACCAUCCCUGGAACUACAUUUCGUAACAAUACAGUUUACUAAAGUGUGAUAUUAAAUUUACUUAUUAAUAUGCAAUUGCAGAUUAUCUUCUAAAGCAGUACAUAAACAAGUAUGCCUUCUUGCUCAAUAUAUCUCUUUUCUCUCUAAAUUUCCUUUGGGAAGUAUAAGUUGUAGUAUCAACUCCAGGGAAUUUCUGCAGUGAGUCCCAGGGUCACCUAGCUCUCUGGUCCUUCCCUGUCGCAGGGCUUCAUUCGGAUGCGCCCCCUGUUGGGCAGUGUGUUGAGAGACUGGGUUUCCUUUGUAUCUUUAGGUUUCAUCCGGAGUAAAACAACUCGUCUGACCAGAAGAGUCCUUGCUUGAGGACUGCAAAUGCUGACGGCCUGGGUAAACACUACAUUUAUUCAGGCAUGCUCUAUCUUGAACAAGUGUCUAGUUAGUCUCCACAAAACUGCAUUUUGUACCAGGAACUCUAAAGCCUUUGGUGACUCACGAGCUAUAUGUGAGAAACUUUGGAGUGAUUGCUGUUGUUCACCAUAGCCAAUUAUCCUCACUGGGAGACCUCCUUCCUUGCAGUUAGAUUGGACCAUGUGACAAGUUCUGGCCAAUGAUAUGAGAGUGGAAGUGCCAUGUAUUGCUUUAGGACCCAGGAAAUUAAGAGUUCUCUACUCCUUUUUCCCGCCAUAGCAUCACCAGAAGCCCCAUGUUGCAGAGGUAGGAACAUGCAGCCUCGAUCUAUGAGUUACUGCUUGAAAGUGAGCUGUCCUGGAGAGCCAAGGGAACCAUAGCAGGCUUUGCAUGACCAAGAAAUUAACUUCUGAGUUUUGUUUUGAACCACUGACAUUAGAGGGUUGGUUUGUUUCUAGAACGUAGACUAACCUAUCCUAACUAAUAUGGAAACUUUGUUCAUGUAAAUAAGUAGGUAGGAAUGAAAGAAGGUUUGUUAUAGCAAUAUAGCUCCAUUAUUUGAAUUUCUUUCUUUUAUGUGCCAAAAAUCACACUGAUCCUUCAUUAAAAAUUAUUAUAUAACUGACAAUUUGAUUAUGUCCUCCUUGAGUCUUGCUUAAAGUGAAGAACCAGAAAUACCUGAUUUACAAAAGGA